CAGUAGCCGCGGGAAAACGGAGGGUGCAAGCGUUAUCCGGAUUUAUUGGGUUUAAAGGGUCCGUAGGCGGACUUAUAAGUCAGUGGUGAAAGCCUGUCGCUUAACGAUAGAACUGCCAUUGAUACUGUAAGUCUUGAGUAUAUUUGAGGUAGCUGGAAUAAGUAGUGUAGCGGUGAAAUGCAUAGAUAUUACUUAGAACACCAAUUGCGAAGGCAGGUUACCAAGAUAUAACUGACGCUGAGGGACGAAAGCGUGGGUAGCGAACAGGAUUAGAGAUCCGUGUAGUCCCUGUCUCUUAUAU
rnacentral:rRNA from 1 species